rnacentral:rRNA from 1 species
GUUAAAACGCUCGUAGUUGGAUAUUUGUUGAAGAAUGCUCUUCCACCCCAGAGGUGUGUACUCGGUAUAUCUUUAAUCUUUUACUGGAGGAGGGAUUUCCACUUUAUUGUGGGGGUUCAUAAUUCCAGGGCUUUUACUUUGAGGAAAUAAGAGUGUUCUAAGCAGGCCUAGCCAUGAAUACAUUAGCAUGGAAUAAUAGCAGAGGACCUUUUGUCGUAUCUGUUGGUUGACGGAAUGAGGUAAUAGAAAUAUGGACAGUUGGGGGCAUUCGUAUUGCAAUGUCAGAGGUGAAAUUCUUGGAUUUUUGCAAGACGAACUACUGCGAAAGCAUUUGCCAAGGAUGUUUUUCUUAAUCAAGAACGAAAGUUAGGGGAUCGAAGACGAUCAGAUACCGUCGUAGUCUUAACCAUAAACCAUACCAACUAGAGAUUGGAGGACGUUAAAUGAUGACCCCUUCAGCAACUUAAGAGAAAUCAAAGUCUUUGGGUUCCGGGGGGAGUAUGGUCGCAAGGCUGAAACUUAAAGGAAUUGACGGAAGGGCACCACCAGGAGUGGAGCCUGCGGCUUAAUUUGACUCAACACGGGGAAACUUACCAGGUCAAGACAUAGGAAGGAUUGACAGAUUGAUAGCUCU